CUCAGCAGCCUCAGGGUGGGCUCAGGGGAAGGCUCCCAUACUCCGAGCCACUGCCUGUGCCAGGGUGACCGGGUUAACCUCCCUUGUGAUGCUCACACGGAAGCCCAGAGGGUGUGGAGUAGGGAUGGGCAUUGGGGCUGUGCCACCCGUGGUGACACAGAGCCCUGGUGUGCAGCUCCAGCCCAACCCCACUGCGCUCAGGGCUGAUGCAGUGGGGUAAGCUGGGGGCACGGGCUGCAGGAGGAGCCUUUGGUGCAUGGGGAGCUCCUGCUCUGCAUCACCGCACAGUGCCUCAUUCCCGUGUCCUAAUUGCAGCCAGUGAGUCUGCCUGCAGCACUGGCAGCGGUGGGGCACGGGGGUGGGGGCUGCUCUGUCUCUUUGGGUGAUGCUGAGCGCUGCGGUGAGGGAUUUGGGGCAGUGCGUGGUGGGCUGUGUGGGUGUCCCACCCCCUGCCCCCCUGUGCCCAGGUUGUCCCCCCUCCGUCCCCAAGCUCUGCAAGGCUGGACCUGCCCAACUUCAUCGUCCCUGCGGGCGCAGCAGUCCCUGCCCCAGCGCUGCCUGCCCCAACCUCGGUGUUCCCAGCGCUCAGGGAUGGCAGCAGGACACAAAUGUGCCCCGCGCUGUUUUGUUCAGGUCCGACACAAACAACGGUGGUAGAUUUCCUCUGUGUCAGCAGCGCAGCUGUCCUGCGAGCCUCCUGCAGGGUGAGGGCAGCAGGGUGGUGACAGCUGUGUCCGGAGUGCGGUGCCAGGGCCCCCUGGGACCUCAGGGCAUCACUUUACAGAGGCACAACAGCAGCUGGGUGAAUUGCAGGGCCCGUGGUGCCUCUGCUGUUGGGUGCUGGAGUGCAUCUCGUACGAUGUUAAAGCCUGGUGGCACCCACCAUGGUGCACCACAGGCAGAAAUGGGAUCCUCGCGGCCGCCCCUUCCCACCCCCAGCACCUUACACUGCCGACACCAUCUGCAGCGCAACAAGAAAUCCCAAGCCAUACAUGUUUAAUUUUCUACAACACAGCAGCCAUUUCAGCCACACACCCAGAAAGGAUCUUUAAUGAGAAGCGAGGAGAGAGAGCACGCAGCGCGCAGGAGAGCCGAGGCACUAUGGAAACACUCUGCUCCCUCUCGGCUGCCUACCGCUGCUCCGAGUUCAGCCCGGAGAACUUCCCUGCACUGCUGGAGGUUGAUGAGGAGGGAUUGCCGUGACCCCGUGCCUGUGACAGUUGUUUCAGGGCCCCCGGGGGGGCUGUGAGCGCGGCCCCCGGUGCCGGUGCCGGUGCCGGCCGCCC
ensembl:lncRNA